rnacentral:misc_RNA from 1 species
CGCACAUUGCGCCCAAUAGUAUUCUAUUGGGCAUGCCUGUUCGAGCGUCAUUUCAACCCUCAAGCCUGGCUUGGUGUUGGGAAUCUACCGGAUGGGGGGUUGUUACCCUGUAGCACCUACCCUAUAGCGCCUACCCUGUAGCGCGCCUACCCUGUAGUUCCUCAAAUCGAACGGCGGAUCUGUGGUGUCCUCUGAGCGUAGUAGCUAUAUCUCGCUUCUGUCAGGCGCCGCAGCCCCUGCCGCUAAACCCCAACUUUAAAUGGUUGACCUCGGAUCAGGUAGGAAUACCCGCUGAACUUAA